rnacentral:rRNA from 1 species
AGGGCGUUCGGUGGAUGCCUGGGCAUCAAGGGCCGAAGAAGGACGUGGCAGUCUGCGAUAAGCCUCGGGGAGUUGGCAAGCGAGCGGUGAUCCGGGGGUGUCCGAAUGGGGGAACCUGGCCGGGGUUGUGCCUGGUCGCCCGUGUGUGAAGUUCAUAGCGCGCGGGUGGGAACGCGGGGAAGUGAAACAUCUUAGUACCUGCUGGAGAAGAUAUUCCGUUAGUAGUGGCGAGCGAAGGCGGAGGAGCCUAAACCGUGUGCGUGUAUCAGCCGCCGGGCGGUGCGUGUGCGGUGUUGUGGGCAUGCUUGUGGCCGUGCCGGUGUGCGGCCGGGCAGUGAGAAACCGUCGGGGUAGGCGAAGGGUCUGGGAAGGCCCGCCGGAGUGGGUGAGAGCCCCGUAGCCGAAAUCGCGGCGGCUGUCUGAGUGUGUUCCUGAGUAGCACGGGGCUCGUGGAAUCUCGUGUGAAGGUGGCAAGACCACUUGUCAAGGCUGAAUACCCUUGGUGACCGAUAGUGGAUGAGUACCGUGAGGGAAAGGUGAAAAGUACCCCGGGAGGGGAGUGAAAGAGUGCCUGAAACCGGGCGCCUGCAAUCCGUCAGAGCCCUUUGUUGUGGGGGUGAUGGCGUGCCUUUUGAAGAAUGAGCCUGCGAGUUAGGGGCGUGUGGCGAGGUUAACCCGUGUGGGGCAGCCGUAGCGAAAGCGAGUCUGAAAUAUGGCGGUCAGUCGUGCGUUCUAGACCCGAAGCGGGGUGAUCUACCCAUGUCCAGGGUGAAGCGCGUGUAAGAGCGUGUGGAGGCCCGGACCCACCGGGGUUGAAAACCCGGGGGAUGAGGUGUGGGUAGGGGUGAAAGGCCAAUCAAACUCCGUGAUAGCUGGUUCUCCCCGAAAUGCAUUUAGGUGCAGCGUUGCGUGGUUCUUUGCGGAGGUAGAGCGACUGGAUGGCUGAUGGGCCCCACCGGGUUACUGAGGUCAGCCAAACUCCGAAUGCCGCAAAGUGUGAGCGUGGCAGUGAGACGGCGGGGGAUAAGCUUCGUCGUCGAGAGGGAAACAGCCCGGAUCGUCGGUUAAGGCCCCUAAGGGUGUGCUAAGUGGGAAAGGAUGUGUCGUUGCUGUGACAGCCAGGAGGUUGGCUUAGAAGCAGCCAUCCUUGAAAGAGUGCGUAAUAGCUCACUGGUCAAGUGGUCGUGCGCCGACAAUUCAGCGGGGCUCAAGCGCGCCGCCGAAGCCGCGGAUCCGCCGCUAUUGGCCUGUCGCCCCCCUUGGGGGGUGGUGGGUGCGGCGGGUGGUAGGGGAGCGUCCCGCGUGGGGGGAAGCUUCCGGGUGACCGGGGGUGGACCGCGUGGGAGUGAGAAUGCAGGCAUGAGUAGCGAUACCGGGGUGGGAAGCCCCGGCGCCGUAUGACCAAGGGUUCCAGGGCCAGGCUAGUCCGCCCUGGGUGAGUCGGGACCUAAGGCGAGGCCGACAGGCGUAGUCGAUGGAUGACGGGUUGAUAUUCCCGUACCGGCGAAGCACCGCCCAUGCUGACGUGCGGGUGCUAACCCACGCCCAGCCACCAUGUUAGCCGCGCCUGUCAGGUUCGCCUGACGGUGUGGUUGUGGUGGUGGGGUCUGGGGAUCCUCCGUGCAGGUAGGCAAGCGUGUUAACAGGGGUGACGCACAGUGGUAGCCCGGCGGACCUGAUGGCUUGGUCCGUUCAAGCGCGCAGCCCGUUCCCCAGGUAAAUCCGGGGGACUGUCUUUGAUGACGGGGGUGAGGCGUGAUGGUGACCUCACACUGGUGGGGGAUAACAGGGUGAUCCUGGGGUGCCGAGAAAAGCCUCGACGCGAUGGUGCCAGCCGCCCGUACCCUAAACCGACACAGGUGGUCGGGCAGAGUAUGCCUAGGCGCACGAGUGAAUCAUGGUUAAGGAACUCGGCAAAAUGCCCCCGUAACUUCGGGAGAAGGGGGGCCUGAGCUUUGAAGCCCCUUCGCGGGCUAGGAGCAAGGGUCGCAGAGAACAGGGGGGAGCGACUGUUUACUAAAAACACAGGUCCGUGCGAAGCCGUAAGGCGAUGUAUACGGACUGACGCCUGCCCGGUGCUGGAAGGUUAAGAGGAACCAUCAACCCCCUCGGGGGUGAAGUGGUGAAUUUAAGCCCCAGUAAACGGCGGUGGUAACUAUAACCAUCCUAAGGUAGCGAAAUUCCUUGUCGGGUAAGUUCCGACCUGCACGAAUGGCGUAACGACUUCUCCGCUGUCUCGACCACGAACUCGGUGAAAUUGCAGUACGAGUAAAGAUGCUCGUUUCGCGCAGCAGGACGGAAAGACCCCGGGACCUUUACUGCAGCUUGGUAUGGGUGUUCGGCGCGGUUUGUGUAGGAUAGGUGGGAGACGGUGAUCCGCUCGCGCUAGCGGGCGGGGAGUCGCUGGUGAAAUACCACUCUGGCCGUGUUGGGCUCCUAACCUCGGCCCGUGAUCCGGGUCAGGGACAGUGCCUGGUGGGUAGUUUAACUGGGGCGGUUGCCUCCUAAAGGGUAACGGAGGCGCUCAAAGGUCCCCUCAGCCUGGUUGGUCAUCAGGUGGCGAGUGCAAGUGCACAAGGGGGCUUGACUGUGAGACUGACAGGUCGAGCAGGCACGAAAGUGGGAACUAGUGAUCCGGCGGUCGCGUGUGGAAGCGCCGUCGCUCAACGGAUAAAAGGUACCCCGGGGAUAACAGGCUGAUCCUGCCCAAGAGUCCAUAUCGACGGCAUGGUUUGGCACCUCGAUGUCGGCUCGUCGCAUCCUGGGGCUGGAGUAGGUCCCAAGGGUUGGGCUGUUCGCCCAUUAAAGCGGUACGCGAGCUGGGUUCAGAACGUCGUGAGACAGUUCGGUCCCUAUCCGCUGCGCGCGCAGGAGAAUUGAGAAGGGCUGUCCCCAGUACGAGAGGACCGGGACGGACGAACCUCUGGUGUGCCAGUUGUUCCGCCAGGAGCACGGCUGGUUGGCUACGUUCGGGAGGGAUAACCGCUGAAAGCAUCUAAGCGGGAAGCCCGCUUCAAGACGAGUUCUCCACCACCCUCGCGGUGGGAAGGCCCCCCGAAGACGACGGGGUUGAUAGACCGGACGUGGACGCCCCGCAAGGGAGUGAAGCCGACCGGCACUAAUGGGCCGACCAACCCAA